rnacentral:lncRNA from 1 species
AAAACCCGUUGAAUUGAACAGGAAACAUUCACGGGAAAUCUGCAGGUGUCUGCAAGCAAGAGUGACGCUAGAAGGAUCUUAGUAUGCCAGCUCCCUCUUCCUCAAGGGUAGUGUCCCUGGAAUGAAGCCACCAGCAACAGGAGAGGAAACAGAUGGGGUUGUAGAAAGUAGGAGCAGCAAAAGCUUCUGAACUUAGUAAUAAGCUGCUUGCCCCGGGCUGCAUCGCGAGAGCUCAGAAGCUCAGUCAAUGCAAAACAGAAGGCACUGAGGGAAAAUUUCAGAUGAGAAUGGACGUACCCUCUCCAGAGGCAAAGAAGUUUGCAAAUUACUUUUUGAAGCCCUCUCUAUAUAAUUUUGAGGUGAGGUGGGGAGGAGCAGAUGUUUUGCCUCUAGUGAGACAAUAAUUUACUUCCCUAUUAUUGUUUGACUUUGCCUUGUUUCUGCCUAUGAAUUACUAACAGAGGCUUGCAGCACUAUCUAUGGGGCCUGAAACAUACAAUAAGGGGCCAGAAGGCCUUGAGAGAGCUGAAAAAGAAAUCAUCACCCUAGCCUCACCCAGUCACCUGUCUCCAGGCAAAAUAAUUCCCUGUCCUUCAUGAUGAUUCGGAGAAGACCAGCCCCACUCAGCUGCUGUUGCCAACCAACCAUAGUUCUUGUUACCCUGGGCCACAAGUGCCUUAUCCACUAGAUUGAGAAAGUUAAUGCCAGAGGGAAGUGAGAAACUAACUAUGGAAGAGUGGACCCAUGUUGCAAAAACAAAGUUCUAGGGAAAGACGUGAACAAAGAUGGGUGAGUAUGAAUGGGGUCUGACUGGAACAUGGCAGAGAAGAAAUUCAACUAUGCAAUGAGAUAAAGCAAAGAUUCUAAUGAAAGACUGAUGUGGUCAUAAACAAACAAACAAACAAACAAAAAACAGGUGCCCAAUGAAUACUUCUAACUGAAAAAAAAUCUGAAGAUGCUGGUCAGAGGAUCCUCAGGAGGGAAAAAACCUGACUUUCCUUGGUAAGGGCCUGUGGAGCAAGUAAUUGCAGCUUGAACCAUGGGGUCUCCUUGGAGCUGCGGGCACCAAGCAUCAGAUCUGAACACAGAAGCUGGGCCAGUUUGUUAAGUAGGGUGCGGCAGAGACUGUUAGUUGCCUAUCCAAUAUCCAGUCUCCUCUUUUUCCUUGGUCACAUAACCCAGAUUUUAAUCUGGGUGGCAGUGUGCUCAGCUGAAAGACUACACUUGGAAGCCACAUUUGCAGCCUGAGGGCCAGUGAGACAUAAGCAGAAGUUGUUGGGUAGUCUUCUGUGGACUCCUUAAGAGGGAAUAGACUACUCACAGACUCCUUUUUCUCCUUCUCCCUUCCUUCCAUGCCUUUCUGGAACAGGAAGUUUAACAUGAUGAUUGGCGCUCUAGCUGUCACAUUGGACCAUGAAGUUAUGUUGUUUUUUUUUUUAAUUAAUUUUUAGUUUUAUUUCAGUGGUUUUGGGGGUAUAGGUGGUUUUUGAUUCCACG